GGACACCCCACAGGCUGUGCAGCUGUGAUCCUCUGCGGCCGUGUGUGUGUGCGCGCACGCGAGUAGCAGAGACCCUCAGACUCAGCGUUCUCCUUCCUUCGGUGUCCCCCCCCCCACCCCCACACACACAUCAGAACAUGCAGGCAUGCGUAGGGGGUGUUCUCAUGCACUCUCUCGUACACACACCAUACACCAUACGAUCUCAUAGACUUGUGCGCACGGUAGCUGCACCUCCCCUUCACCCCGGCAUUGCUGCCUCCUUUUCCGCAUCUCUCCUCCCCCUUCUCUCCACGCGCGCGCACGCACGCACGCAGUCUGUGCGAUGCCGAUUAUUAAAAGCCGUGUCCAUGCCGAUGAACUCCACGCGGCGAAGAAAGCGCUUGCCGCUGCCAAUGGCGAGGCCGACGUGCUGCGCCAACAGGUGCUCGAGCAGCGCGCGCAACUCGACGAGCGUGCUCAGCAAAACGCGAGACUUGCUGCGGAGCUUGUGCAGGCUGAGACGAAGCUGGAAGAGGCGCACCGCCAGCUCACAGAGAUGCAGGCACACACCCAAGUGAGAGAGGAGCACCACUGCGAACAGAUGCACCGCAUGGCGCAGAACGUGCGCACUCUGGAGGAUAUGGUUCAGGCGUCGCGGCGGAGCGAGAGGGAAGGAUCGAGUUCGAUGUACCACCGUGGGCAGAACGCCGGCAACGGUUCCACGGACGAUGCAGGCCGUGCUCGGCAGCGUGGGAAGCUGAGCCACUCCCAAACGAGUGCAGCGUUGCAGCGGCCGCCGGCUGUGCCGACACGAGGCGACAAGGCUGUACGAGAGCAGCACCGCUCGCCGCCUAGCCCCUCUCCGGCGGCAAGUCUGCCGAUCUCCGCGCAGGUUUUGUACUGGCAGGAGCAGCUGCUUGACUUUAGUCAGCGUGCGGCCGAGGGCUUUGGCGAAGUGCAGCGACAGCUGCGCCGCUGCCUGCCCCCCUCGCCUGCGGCCGCAGGCUGCCAUGCACACGCUGGCCAGGAACCGCUUGCUGCCAGUGCGUCUCCCGGCACUGAUGCGCAUCGAUGGUGCCGGCAGCUGCGCCGCCUCCACGCGCACUUUGACGAAGUAGUGCAGGCCGACUCGAAGCUCAUCAGCUUCCUGCUCCUCGUGGCGCAGCAACAGGGCCAGCAGCUUCGCACCCUCCAGGAGCGGUGGGCCGAGGCACAGAACACUGUGCGAGAGGCGGAAGGGGUGCUGGACGAAGCGAACGCGCGAGUGACCCGUAAUGCACAGGAAUCGGCGGUGCUGCGCCAAGAAUGCGCCGUCCUUACAGAGGCGCAGACGGCCCUGCAGGCGCAACUCACCAACCGCACCCGCGAGCACCAAGCCGCCGUCACUGCCCUGCAUCGUCUGCAGGAGGCGCACGCGCAACUCACCAACGCUCACACGAGGCAGGAGGAGAUGUGGGCCACGCGCCUGGCGCAGGCUGCUGAGCUCCAGCAGCAGGCCAGCAACUACGCACAGAAGCUCGAGGCAGCGUUACUGGAUAAGGAGCGGCUAAUGUCUGCUGCUGCGGCAUCGACUGAGCAGCAGCUUCGACGCGAGGUCCUCGAAGCCGCCAAGAAACGUGUGGCCGUGUUUUUGAAGCAGCUUAACGCCUGCGCAGAGCAGCUGCAAGGCUCUCUGGCAAGUCUCUCCAACUCACCACCGUUGUCUGCACUCGCCGCUUCGACCGUGGCAGGGGGCACCGUACAGAAGGUGUCAUCGACCGCCUCGCCGGAGCCCUCCCCGCCAGGGGCGUCUUCAUCGGCGUACUCCGCCUCUCUCUCACCCUUACCACAGUCUUUCGGUCAAUCGCUCCUGCUGCCCGAGAGCUCGGCUGCUGCAUCGAUGUAGCGCCGUGCGCCUACUCGUGACGAGGCAAAGAGACAGGAGUGGACCGCUCUGGCCCACCCCCUCUUCUCGAUUCAUCAUCUACCGCGGAGGACACUUGUUUGUGUGGACCAGGACACGGCCGCAUGCACAC
rnacentral:misc_RNA from 1 species